AUGUGGAUCCAAGGACUGAACUCCAG
rnacentral:piRNA from 1 species